rnacentral:lncRNA from 1 species
CGUUUGCGAGGCGGCGGAUGACGGGGUCAUCGGUGGUGGUGACCUUGAAGAAGUUCCUGUUCUUGAACCUCUCGAGCCGCCUCUCGUUCUUGGGGGUGAUUCGAUCGACGGAGCGAUCGUAGAACUCGAGUCCGCCGCAGAGGAGGAGGUCCUCGGGUUCCGGUACAGAAAACGAGAGCUUAGAGAAUGUGGAGAAGGGGAUCUGUUCCAGCAUGUUCCACUCCGGCUGGAUAUCGACGGAAGAUUUGAAAACCGCGGCUUCUCGGCGAGGGGCGUUGACGUUGGACCGGUUCAUGUUGUACUGGCGGUCGCGGCGGGCCCGCUCCUUCUCAGCCUCGCGCUUCU